AAUUAUUGUUUUUUUCAGCAAUA
rnacentral:siRNA from 1 species